AAUAGAUACCCGGGUAGUCCACCCCGUAAACGUUGGGAACUAGUUGUGGGGUCCUUUCCACGGAUUCCGUGACGCAGCUAACGCAUUAAGUUCCCCGCCUGGGGAGUACGGCCGCAAGGCUAAAACUCAAAGGAAUUGACGGGGACCCGCACAAGCGGCGGAGCAUGCGGAUUAAUUCGAUGCAACGCGAAGAACCUUACCAAGGCUUGACAUACACCAGAACACCCUAGAAAUAGGGGACUCUUUGGACACUGGUGAACAGGUGGUGCAUGGUUGUCGUCAGCUCGUGUCGUGAGAUGUUGGGUUAAGUCCCGCAACGAGCGCAACCCUCGUUCUAUGUUGCCAGCACGUAAUGGUGGGAACUCAUGGGAUGCUGCCGGGGUCAACUCGGAGGAAGGUGGGGAUGACGUCAAAUCAUCAUGCCCCUUAUGUCUUGGGCUUCACGCAUGCUACAAUGGCCGGUACAAAGGGCUGCAAUACCGUGAGGUGGAGCGAAUCCCAAAAAGCCGGUCCCAGUUCGGAUUGAGGUCUGCAACUCGA
rnacentral:rRNA from 1 species